rnacentral:rRNA from 1 species
AAGGCUUACGGUGGAUACCUAGGCACCCAGAGAUGAGGAAGGGCGUAGUAAUCGACGAAAUGCUUCGGGGAGUUGAAAAUAAGCAUAGAUCUGGAGAUUCCCGAAUAGGGCAUCCUUUCGAACUGCUGCUGAAUUCAUGGGCAGGCAAGAGACA